rnacentral:rRNA from 1 species
UACGUAGGGGGCAAGCGUUGUCCGGAUUUAUUGGGCGUAAAGAGCGUGUAGGCGGUUUGGUAGGUCCGCUGUGAAAACUCGAGGCUCAACCUCGAGACGCCGGUGGAAACCAUCAGACUAGAGUCCGGAAGAGGAGUGUGGAAUUCCCGGUGUAGCGGUGAAAUGCGCAGAUAUCGGGAAGAACACCCGUGGCGAAGGCGGCACUCUGGGACGGUACUGACGCUGAGACGCGAAAGCGUGGGGAGCGAACAGG